rnacentral:rRNA from 1 species
CCUACGGGAGGCAGCAGUGAGGAAUAUUGGUCAAUGGGCGAGAGCCUGAACCAGCCAAGUCGCGUGAAGGAUGACUGUCUUAUGGAUUGUAAACUUCUUUUAUACGGGAAUAACAAGAGUCACGUGUGGCUCCCUGCAUGUACCGUAUGAAUAAGCAUCGGCUAACUCCGUGCCAGCAGCCGCGGUAAUACGGAGGAUGCGAGCGUUAUCCGGAUUUAUUGGGUUUAAAGGGUGCGUAGGCGGCCUGUUAAGUCAGCGGUGAAAUCUAGGAGCUUAACUCCUAAAUUGCCAUUGAUACUGGCGGGCUUGAGUGUAGAUGAGGUAGGCGGAAUGCGUGGUGUAGCGGUGGAAUGCAUAGAUAUCACGCAGAACUCCGAUUGCGAAGGCAGCUUACUAAGGUACAACUGACGCUGAAGCACGAAAGCGUGGGUAUCAAACAGGAUUAGAUACCCGGGUAGUC